ensembl:lncRNA
GCUCGGUCUCGGUUUUACAAACAUCCUCUGAGCCAUACGUCGGCUUCCUGAUUCCUUACACAACAUAUGAGAUACGGCGAGAUAACGUCUGAGGGACUGUCAAGUUCGGAUACACUUCGAGCCGUGUCAUUUUCAGUGGUAUAAAGAGAAGAAAACACACUGAUAGGAGUAAAAGUAAAAGGAGUGAUCUGUAUAUCAUCUGGUGAAAAACUACUUGAUCAACAGGGUUGUCUGAUUCCAUUCAGCCUCAACCGGCCACCACGACACUUCGCUGGCCUACAAACCACAGACCGAGCCAAUUACACUCACCUACCUGGCAGGUACAAAUGCUUCCAAAAUAGCCCCCUUAUAUCUCUCUACUCAUCAGAAGAGCAUUAGGAGUGCAGCUGCCCAGGAACAAGGCAGUGAAGAAACAACUUCCUAUGACCAAUUUAUUUCCAAGAGCUUCUUCUCCUGACAGGGAAGGAGAGUGGUGUGAAAUUACUCAAGGGCACAUCAAGGACUGACACUCACUUUGCCCUUCACUUCUGCACAUUCGCCUCUUCUAGCAUUCUUCAUAGGAGCUGCAGUGUGCACCCUGUACUGAACAAUCACAAUGGGUAGAAGUACACACUGAGCUGUCAUGCAGAGACUAAAACUUUACACUCCCCAAACAACGUUCAUCAAGUGCUCAAUCAAGUGCUACACGUAGGAAAUCCUCCACAUCAUCAUCUGAGGAACUCCGGAGCAGCAGGAAACUUCAUGGCUAAGGAUUUGGCCGUGCAGCUCAAAUUAUCUUCCAUUCUUUUGAAUCACAUAUUUCAGUGCAUGCUCUACACGGCAGACCCGCUGGAGCCAGG